UUGGUGUGGUUGUGAACAGGACAUUUUUCAAGAGUGAGCAGAUUUCUACAAAAGACCCUGCCAUGACAUACUUGAAUGUUUUUUUUCUGCUUCUUUUCAGAGAUUGUUGUUAAAGACCUAUCUGACAUCUUUAUCUAAAAAAGAAAUGUGUAAACUGAGUCUGAACUAUCAAUGCAAUGCAACCCUACCAGACAGCGAGUGUCUCAUGUUGAAAUGAUCUCCUAGUCAAGAAGCUUUAAAAUCACACACAGUCUUCCAGAGUGAUUUCUCAGAAAAACAGUGGAAGCCACC